CUCUGAGUUGCCAGGGCUGUCUGCUGGACUUUGCGCACCAUCGGAAUGACCGCGAUGUGUCUCCUGUGCGCUCCCCUCAAAGUCAGUUUCUGCAGCUUGCAGUAAACGCUGGAGAUGAGUGUGCCGUCCUCGCCCCUCCGCCCCCCAUUUCUAAAAGUCACACAGACAGACUCGGUUAGGCGCGCAACUACGUCACCAUCAGCUGAGAGAAGAAACCUGCAACACAAACCAUGAAUCUCUUCCAGACCCACAGCCCGCUGCUGCUAAGAAUGAGAGGAAGGGGAUAAUCGAGAGAAGCUUGAUAACGGCAUGCCACACCACGCAGGAGCACCAGCAGCAGCAGCAGCAGUGGGGAAUAAAACAGCAUAGCAGGAGAGAAUAGUGCUGCACUUGCAUUUUCUGAUUUGUAAUUUCACUCUCUCUCUCUGUGCUGCACUCGGCACUCUGCACAUGCUGAUAAUUUGUAGGAUUGAGAUGCAACAACUUUGCCCACCCAGGCAAAGGCACUGUGGGAGCGGCCAGUGGGAGAAACGGGAGGGAGGGGUCAUCGGGAAAGUUAACAUCAACAUCACCCCCUGGGCGACGUCCACUUACAACAGGCAGUAAUGAACAGUGAAGCUGUGAAACAAGAAAGGUAGAGAGUCACCUUGCAUCAGGAUCUCAGGGAUGGCGGUCACUCUGAAGACUUAAAAGAUGCUUGGAGUGUGAGUUAAAUCAAAAUAUGGCUUUGGUCUUCACUGCUUAGCUAAA